UGCUCCUACGGGAGGCAGCAGUAGGGAAUUUUCGUCAAUGGGCGCAAGCCUGAACGAGCAAUGCCGCGUGAACGAGGAAGGUCUUCGGAUCGUAAAGUUCUGUUGAAGGGGAAAAAGAGCGGAGAGAGGAAAUGGUCUCCGAUUGAUAUUACCCUUCGAGGAAGUCACGGCUAACUACGUGCCAGCAGCCGCGGUAAUACGUAGGGGGCUAGCGUUAUCCGGAAUUACUGGGCGUAAAGGGUGCGUAGGUGGUUUCUUAAGUCAGAGGUGAAAGGCUACGGCUCAACCGUAGUAAGCCUUUGAAA
rnacentral:rRNA from 1 species